AGGCACCUGUAGUCCCAGCUACUCGGGAGGCUGAGGCAGGAGAAUGGUGUGAACUUGCAGUGAGCCGAGAUUGCACCACUGCACUCCAGCCUGGGCAACAGAGCGAGACUCCGUCUCAAAAAAAAAAAAGAUAAACUUUUUUGAAUACAAAUACCAUAUCAUUCCAUUCCACUGCAUUUAUAUCAGGGCAAGGGCACAUGGAGAGUCAACAUAGAAAUACUGUAAAGGACCAUCAGUGUGGAUGGUUUCAGUCACUAGAUUGUACCAGGUGGGGGAGGAACCACAUGUUCCUCUAAUACCCUCUGCAGCCCUGAGACCCUCUUCUCCAUUUAGGCCUCACACAAUUUAAGUUGGUAAUGGAGCCAGGAAUAGAAUUCCAUUGCAGUCUCCCAGCCCCUUGUUCAACCUAUGUCAUCACACUUGGGAAACAAUGAGCAGCUGCUUCUGUUUAAUCCCACAGGUGGUCCUGGCUCUGCCAUAUGACACCCCUGUGCCCGGCUACAUGAAUAACACUGUCAACACCAUGCGCCUCUGGUCUGCUCGGGCACCAAAUGACUUUAACCUCAGAGACUUUAAUGUUGGAGACUACAUUCAGGCUGUGCUGGACCGAAACCUGGCCGAGAACAUCUCCCGGGUCCUCUAUCCCAAUGACAAUUUUUUUGAAGGGAAGGAGCUAAGAUUGAAGCAGGAAUACUUUGUGGUGGCUGCAACCUUGCAAGAUAUCAUCCGCCGUUUCAAAGCCUCC
rnacentral:sRNA from 1 species